GUAGGAACUAUGCGGAAGAUUUCGUUGGUUUUCAGGUUGAUGGAUAGAGAGAUAAAAGUUGGAGAUAGGACGAUAAGGGAAGUAAGGUGGUUCGAAGUUUCAGAGAGUAGCGAGUAGAUCGGAAGAGCACA